UACAGAGGGUGCGAGCGUUGUUCGGAAUCAUUGGGCGUAAAGCGCUUGUAGGCGGCCUGCCAAGUCGCGUGUGAAAUCCCCUGGCUCAACCAGGGAAGUGCGCGCGAAACUGGCGGGCUUGGAGUGCCGGAGAGGGUCGCGGAAUUCCCGGUGUAGAGGUGAAAUUCGUAGAUAUCGGGAGGAACACCAGUGGCGAAGGCGGCGACCUGGACGGACACUGACGCUGAGACGCGAAAGCGUGGGGAUCAACAGG
rnacentral:rRNA from 1 species